rnacentral:lncRNA from 1 species
GAAUAUUGGCAUUAAACAAUUAAAAAUUAUAGAUACGACGGAGACGUAUCAUGGAUCAACUGUUUAUAUGGACGUUGAGUGUCACCAAAUCCCUUAUACCAAGAACUACCCUCACAGAUUGGAGAAGAGGGUUACAGAGGAGCUAAGCAAUUUAGUUAGGUUGCAAUGGACUCUAACUCGAAGCCCAAACCAUGCAGACCAUAAGCUUAGCAUGGCAUUCAAAAUUAAUUUCUGCUCCAUUGUGAAGAUGAAACAUGGCUAAUUUGGUGUAAGGUAGACACAAAUAACUCUAGGAAAAGUACCUACAAAAAAAUUGUUAAAAGCAAAAAGGAGGUAAUCAACACAUCAUAAAAUAACAAUUAGAGGGCAGAUAAUAAAGAGAGCACCUUUCAAAUUGCAGAGAUGUUACUGUAAGAUAGUGGAGUUGCAAUGGUCCUCCUGCUGCACAGACUUGUAAAAAAUAGUGAAAUACAUUAUCAAACUCAAAACAUUGGAGCCUCUUCUUAGUAGAGCAUAGUAACCUCGAGAGAUUUCAAUACCGCAUAUGAAGCAUCAUAAGAAAAUAUUAGUUUCAGACCGAUUACACUUCUCAUUUAGUCGCCAAGAACGUAUUAAUAAUAAGCAAUUGUGAAGCCGUAUAAUCCAUCAACGAAAG